CGCGGGGUGGAGCAGCCUGGUAGCUCGUCGGGCUCAUAACCCGAAGGUCGCAGGUUCAAAUCCUGCCCCCGCAAC
rnacentral:tRNA from 6 species